AGCGGGAUGCGACAUCGCCUCCCUCUCGGAGGCGCCUCCAUCGCCGCGGUAAGACAGUGGGGAGAGCCGAUGCUGGUCUGCACCCCGGCGCCUUUCCAGGGCGGUGUCGCCUGCUCAGAACUCCUUCUCCGUGGAUGGCCGAAUCUGUAGCCUCGCGUCUGCGGCAGAGUCAGUACGCGGCCGCUGCGCUGCGGGAAGAGGUGGAGGCGGCGCACGGCGUACCCCCUCCUUUUCGGGAGGGAUGGUUCGCCCCGCGGGAGGCACGCCGGGAGCGGCACGGCGUCCGCGGCUGCUGAGGGAGCAGCGGUGUGAGGCUGUGGUUAUUGGCGCUGCUUGUCUUCGAAAUCGGGCACUUACCUCUAAUGAAAGCAAUGGAAGUUGGUCAGUGGCCGGAGCGUGCACCACCAUGACCAAGAGGUGUCCCAGGAUCAUGGUUCCUGGUGUGUUUUGCUGGAAGUUUGGGAUCUCUCUGUGUGGUGAAGGCCUCUGAGCUUGAGAAAGGCACGUGGGAAGAAGCUGCCAAGUGCUGAUUGCAGAGCUGUGAUUAGCAAUAAUUCCUUGUGCAACUCUGUCCUGUAGCUUGCUGUUAAAAUAAAGCAGGCUUUCUGCUGAGCAGGAGGCACAAUGACUUUAGAGCAGAAAUCAGAACUUAAACAGUGAGUGAGAUCUGCCUGAUGGCUAUAUUCUUAUCAAAAAGAGCAAAGUGGAAGAUACAGAAUAAAAAUGUUGGUGUGGGUGGCUUUGUUAAAUCAGUAUGUGGCUGCCAGUGUGUUCAAGACAAGGACUUGCUUUCUCAUGUUUGCUUUUAGGGGUGUGAUAUUGUGGAGCAUUUCAGAACAUAAAGGUUGAAAAUGUUAAAAAGACUGGCAAAAUAUGAAAGAAAGCUUUGAAUAUACCAGAUACUGCUUCACUGUAAAGUCUUGGAAAAGCCAACACUACUGAAAAGCUGAGUAGCGCAAGUCAGCCCAAAUUUCAUUAGUACAGACAAGGUAUUAGUAAAAAUCACAUGCACUAUCAAGUCUUUUUUUUUUGUAACCUACAUACCCAAGGGUGUGACAUGUAAUCCAAGUCUCUGAAGCCAGGAACUUAUAGGUCAAUACUGGAAAUCUGGUGUUAGAAUGAUCCUGUACUACAUCGCUGUAGAUUUUGUUUGGGUUGGGUUUUUUUCAGGAGAAAAUACAACUAAUCUUCAGUGAAGUGAUGAAACUCCUCCAGGGUGGCCAUAAUGCUCUUGAAAGUAAUAACAUCUGAAAGUUUCAUCAACGAAAUGUGAGAAUCUGCUUGAGCAACACAGAUGCAAUGAAUCCUUUACCCCUGCUGCUGGUAGGAAGUGAGCCUGUGAAAUCCAUCCACACAUACUGCACCCCAGGCACUGUAGGAAGAAUUGCUAGAACCAGCCUGAGAGCAAUGCCCGUCUAUUGAAACACUCCUGCCUAAGAAACAAACAAACUGUUUAAAAGAUGGACUACUAAGCCUCCAUGUAGUAAUACAAAGUGCAUUUAACUGCAUUGUGUCAGUGUCUGGUAAUGUUUAUAUAGACAAAAAAAUAAAGAUUUAUGUUUCUCUUCUCAGAA